rnacentral:tRNA from 1 species
GCCUUCGUAGUGCAGUGGUCAACACACUCGGCGCGCAUUCGAGAGAUCCGUGGUUCGAGUCCCGGCAAGGGCA